UGAGUUCACUAGACAGUCGCCGCUUAAUGAUAUCUUCUGAGGAGGGGACAAGUUAAGGGGAGGAAAGUCCGGGCUCCGCAAGGCGGGGUGCCAGGUAACACCUGGGAGGCGUAAGCCUACGACUAGUGCAACAGAAAAUAAACCGCCAAUGAUCUCGCUCAACCGAGAUCAGGUAAGGGUGAAAAGGUGCGGUAAAAGCGCACCGCGCGACUGGCAACAGUUCGCGGCACGGUAAACUCCACCCGGAGCAAAGCCAAAUAGGGAUUCACAUAGUACUGCCCGUACUGAAUCCGGGUAGGCUGCUUGAGCCAGCAAGCGAUUGCUGGCCUAGACGAAUGACUGUCCACGACAGAACCCGGCUUAUCGGUGAACUCUCCAA
rnacentral:RNase_P_RNA from 1 species